ensembl:lncRNA
CAAGGACACAGAGCGAGUGCUGGGAGCCGGGAAAGCUUCUCCGCUCUGUCAGUCGUCAAAGCCGGCCUGGACCCGCCUUCCGUCCCCAAUUCGCGUAGCUCUGGAACCAAGGGAGCGGAGCGAGAAGCCGAAACGGCAACCCCUCCCGGCAACCCCUCCCGGCCCUCGUACAGCGCCUCCAGGGACUUAAACUUGCCUCAGCCACGUGAUUACCCUGAUCUGCCUGCUGAGAGAUGAGCAAAGGUGGAGAGGGACUAGAUCUCAGCAGAGACAGCAGUUCCUGAGCGCCCACCCCCCAGCGCUUCCAGAAAUGCAAUGCAACAUGGACCAGCCUGUGAGCAUUUGCUCCUCCUCAGUACAAGAACUUCCCUGGUGGUCCAGUGGUUAAGAAUCUGCCUGCCAAUGCAGGGGACAUCAGAGGAUCCCACAUGGUGUGGGGCAACUGGGUCCAUGCACCAGAACUGCCAAGCCCUCAAGCCCAGAGCUUGUGCUCUGCAACAAGAGAAGCCACCACACUGGAAAGCCUGGCCACCACAACGAAGAAUAGCACCCCUGCUUGCCGCAGCUAGAAAAAGCCCCAGCACAGCAAUGAAGGCCCAGCAUAGCCCAAAAAAAAAAAAAAAAAAAUCCUAUUUAAAAAAAAAUGUCCCAGUACUUCAAGACUCAGCCUCACACUCUCUUCUCAAACUGCAGUGUGCCUAGAG